UUUUUGUAUACAAAACAGAAAUAUCGUUUAUAUAAAUAAUCAUAUAAAUAUGUCCUUUUAUGCCAUUUUACAUUUAUCAGCUACUUUCAAUAACAGAUUUUAUUGAACACUUCUAAUACUAGCUUAUUAGUGUUAAGCUGACUUAUGUGCUUUAAGCUAACUUAUUAGGUAGUUUUGCCAGACAUAGCCUAUGCCAUGAAUAUACUGCACAUUCUCCAUUUGGUAUUUAUAUUCAUUGGAAGUGUUUGUAGGUUAAUUCUUGAAUAUUUCAUCUUCUUUCCAGGCCAUCAGAAAACGUCUAAGGGCCAUCAAUGAAUCCCGUGUUCAGAAGCGGAAGGCUGGUCAAGUAUAUGGAGUGGCUCUUUCAGCAUCACAACUUGCUAAGCCUGGUGUUUUCCCCGAUCAAAGGCCAUGUCCUGAAGACUUCCGGAAGAAAUGGAUUGAGGUAUUAAUGGAAGUCUUUCUCCUGUUGCUUUACUCUUUGUACAACUCUCCAAUAUAACUAUUGCUUCCCUACUUAUUAGUUUAUGUUAGAAUGGGUUAUUGGUUUGUUGUUAGUGAACUUGGUUGGGCUUGUUGCCUUGUACUAGUUGUACUGGUACUAGACAUAAUUGUUGGUAUUAGACAUAAUUGUUGGUAUAAAUAAAUUAUUAAGAGCAUUAGAUAUUGUACAACUCAUUUAUCGAUAUUCAGCUUACUUUAGCCAUUUCUCUCUCUUUUCACCCAAACAUAAUUGUAGCAUAUUGAAAUAGUAGGGUUUAGGUAAAAAUGAUGGAAAAGAGAGGACAUUUAAUUUGAUGGAGAUUGAUAUUGAAUGUUACACAAUACCCUAGCCUAAUAUUCAUAUUUAUACUAAUAACUUAUAAGUCAACUAGUAGUUCAGCUAAUUUAAGCUCAGGCCCACUAACUAAAACUAAUAACUUUGGUAUUAUAACCGUUUUCAUUAAGUUUUACUAAAUUUAUAUUUAGAAAGCAUGAGGUUAUGUU